rnacentral:RNase_P_RNA from 1 species
ACCAGAUGGUUGCGCGGCCUAAUCGGCCGUGAGGAAAGUCCGAGCUCCAUAGGGCAGAGUGCAAGCUAACGGCUUGUGGAGGCGACUCUAAGGACAGUGCAACAGAAAUAUACCGCCUGUUUUAAACAGGUAAGGGUGGAAAGGCGAGGUAAGAGCUCACCCAUUGAUAUGGCGACUUAUCAAUGCUGUAAACCCCACUCGGAGCAACACCUGAAUCGAAGGCUAAGCCGGCCCGGCAUCUUCGGAGAUUGGUGGCUAGAGGCGUGUGGCGACACACGUUCGAGAUAGAUAAUCAUCAUUGACAGAACUCGGCUUAUUGU